AGAGUUUGAUCAUGGCUCAGGACGAACGCUGGCGGCACGCUUAACACAUGCAAGUCGAACGAGAGAAGAGGAGCUUGCUUUUCUGAUCUAGUGGCGGACGGGUGAGUAACACGUGAGCAAUCUGCCUUUCAGAGGGGGAUACCGAUUGGAAACGAUCGUUAAUACCGCAUAACAUAAUUGAACCGCAUGAUUUGAUUAUCAAAGAUUUAUCGCUGAAAGAUGGGCUCGCGUCUGAUUAGCUAGUUGGUAAGGUAACGGCUUACCAAGGCGACGAUCAGUAGCCGGACUGAGAGGUUGAUCGGCCACAUUGGGACUGAGACACGGCCCAGACUCCUACGGGAGGCAGCAGUGGGGAAUAUUGCACAAUGGAGGAAACUCUGAUGCAGCGAUGCCGCGUGAGGGAAGAAGGUUUUAGGAUUGUAAACCUCUGUCUUCAGGGACGAAAAAAGACGGUACCUGAGGAGGAAGCUCCGGCUAACUACGUGCCAGCAGCCGCGGUAAUACGUAGGGAGCGAGCGUUGUCCGGAAUUACUGGGUGUAAAGGGAGCGUAGGCGGGAUCGCAAGUCAGAUGUGAAAACUAUGGGCUUAACCCAUAAACUGCAUUUGAAACUGUGGUUCUUGAGUGAAGUAGAGGUAAGCGGAAUUCCUAGUGUAGCGGUGAAAUGCGUAGAUAUUAGGAGGAACAUCAGUGGCGAAGGCGGCUUACUGGGCUCUAACUGACGCUGAGGCUCGAAAGCGUGGGGAGCAAACAGGAUUAGAUACCCUGGUAGUCCACGCCGUAAACGAUGAUUACUAGGUGUGGGGGGACUGACCCCUUCCGUGCCGCAGCAAACGCAAUAAGUAAUCCACCUGGGGAGUACGACCGCAAGGUUGAAACUCAAAGGAAUUGACGGGGGCCCGCACAAGCAGUGGAGUAUGUGGAUUAAUUCGAAGCAACGCGAAGAACCUUACCAGGUCUUGACAUCGUAUGCAUAGCUCAGAGAUGAGUGAAAUCUCUUCGGAGACAUAUAGACAGGUGGUGCAUGGUUGUCGUCAGCUCGUGUCGUGAGAUGUUGGGUUAAGUCCCGCAACGAGCGCAACCCUUACUGUUAGUUGCUACGCAAGAGCACUCUAGCAGGACCGCCGUUGACAAAACGGAGGAAGGGGGGAUGACGUCAAAUCAUCAUGCCCCUUAUGACCUGGGCCUCACACGUACUACAAUGGCUGUCAACAGAGGGAAGCAAAGCCGCGAGGUGGAGCGAACCUCUAAAAGCAGUCUUAGUUCGGAUUGUAGGCUGCAACCCGCCUACAUGAAGUCGGAAUUGCUAGUAAUCGCAGAUCAGCAUGCUGCGGUGAAUACGUUCCCGGGCCUUGUACACACCGCCCGUCACGCCAUGGGAGUCGGUAACACCCGAAGCCUGUAGUCUAACCGCAAGGAGGACGCAGUCGAAGGUGGGAUUGAUGACUGGGGUGAAGUCGUAACAAGGUA
rnacentral:rRNA from 1 species